rnacentral:rRNA from 1 species
CUGGAUUCAGCGGCGGACGGGUGAGUAAUGCCUAGGAAUCUGCCUGGUAGUGGGGGACAACGUUUCGAAAGGAACGCUAAUACCGCAUACGUCCUACGGGAGAAAGCAGGGGACCUUCGGGCCUUGCGCUAUCAGAUGAGCCUAGGUCGGAUUAGCUAGUUGGUGAGGUAAUGGCUCACCAAGGCGACGAUCCGUAACUGGUCUGAGAGGAUGAUCAGUCACACUGGAACUGAGACACGGUCCAGACUCCUACGGGAGGCAGCAGUGGGGAAUAUUGGACAAUGGGCGAAAGCCUGAUCCAGCCAUGCCGCGUGUGUGAAGAAGGUCUUCGGAUUGUAAAGCACUUUAAGUUGGGAGGAAGGGUUGUAGAUUAAUACUCUGCAAUUUUGACGUUACCGACAGAAUAAGCACCGGCUAACUCUGUGCCAGCAGCCGCGGUAAUACAGAGGGUGCAAGCGUUAAUCGGAAUUACUGGGCGUAAAGCGCGCGUAGGUGGUUUGUUAAGUUGGAUGUGAAAUCCCCGGGCUCAACCUGGGAACUGCAUCCAAAACUGGCAAGCUAGAGUAUGGUAGAGGGUGGUGGAAUUUCC